rnacentral:rRNA from 1 species
UACGUAGGGUGCAAGCGUUAAUCGGAAUUACUGGGCGUAAAGCGUGCGCAGGCGGUAAUGUAAGACAGAUGUGAAAUCCCCGGGCUCAACCUGGGAACUGCAUUUGUGACUGCAUUGCUGGAGUGCGGCAGAGGGGAUGGAAUUCCGCGUGUAGCAGUGAAAUGCGUAGAUAUGCGGAGGAACACCGAUGGCGAAGGCAAUCCCCUGGGCCUGCACUGACGCUCAGUGCACGAAAGCGUGGGGAGCAAACAGG